UGUUUUGGGCUUAAUGCUACUGGAUGAGAGGAUAACUCCAUAGUUAAGCGUGCUCAGGUGGGACUAGUACCAGUAUGAGUGACCUCCUGGGAAGUCCCCAUCCGGGGCAA
rnacentral:rRNA from 1 species